rnacentral:rRNA from 1 species
UACGUAGGGGGCUAGCGUUAUCCGGAAUUAUUGGGCGUAAAGAGCGCGCAGGUGGUUGAUUAAGUCUGAUGUGAAAGCCCACGGCUUAACCGUGGAGGGUCAUUGGAAACUGGUCGACUUGAGUGCAGAAGAGGGAAGUGGAAUUCCAUGUGUAGCGGUGAAAUGCGUAGAGAUAUGGAGGAACACCAGUGGCGAAGGCGGCUUCCUGGUCUGUAACUGACACUGAGGCGCGAAAGCGUGGGGAGCAAACAGGAUUAGAUAU